UACGAAGGGGGCUAGCGUUGCUCGGAAUCACUGGGCGUAAAGCGCACGUAGGCGGGUUGCCAAGUCGGGGGUGAAUCCUGGAGCUCAACUCCAGAACUGCCUUCGAUACUGGCGAUCUUGGAGUCCGGGAGAGGUGAGUGGAACUGCGAGUGUAGAGGUGAAAUUCGUAGAUAUUCGCAAGAACACCAGUGGCGAAGGCGGCUCACUGGCCCGGUACUGACGCUGAGGUGCGAAAGCGUGGGGAGCAAACAGG
rnacentral:rRNA from 1 species